GAAGGUGGCCUGUGAGGGUUGCUGGAGGUAUCAGAAGUGCGAAUGCUGACAUAAGUAACGAUAAAGCGGGUGAAAAGCCCGCUCGCCGGAAGACCAAGGGUUCCUGUCCAACGUUAAUCGGGGCAGGGUGAGUCGACCCCUAAGGCGAGGCCGAAAGGCGUAGUCGAUGGGAAACGGGUUAAUAUUCCCGUACUUGGUGUUACUGCGAAGGGGGGACGGAGAAGGCUAUGUUGGCCGGGCGACGGUUGUCCCGGUUUAAGCGUGUAGGUGUGUGUUCCAGGUAAAUCCGGUUCACUUUAACACUGAGGCGUGACGACGAGGCACUACGGUGCUGAAGCAACAAAUGCCCUGCUUCCAGGAAAAGCCUCUAAGCAUCAGGUAACACGAAAUCGUACCCCAAACCGACACAGGUGGUCAGGUAGAGAAUACCAAGGCGCUUGAGAGAACUCGGGUGAAGGAACUAGGCAAAAUGGUGCCGUAACUUCGGGAGAAGGCACGCUGACACGUAGGUGAAGUGAUUUACUCAUGGAGCUGAAGUCAGUCGAAGAUACCAGCUGGCUGCAACUGUUUAUUAAAAACACAGCACUGUGCAAACACGAAAGUGGACGUAUACGGUGUGACGCCUGCCCGGUGCCGGAAGGUUAAUUGAUGGGGUCAGCGCAAGCGAAGCUCCUGAUCGAAGCCCCGGUAAACGGCGGCCGUAACUAUAACGGUCCUAAGGUAGCGAAAUUCCUUGUCGGGUAAGUUCCGACCUGCACGAAUGGCGUAAUGAUGGCCAGGCUGUCUCCACCCGAGACUCAGUGAAAUUGAACUCGCUGUGAAGAUGCAGUGUACCCGCGGCAAGACGGAAAGACCCCGUGAACCUUUACUAUAGCUUGACACUGAACAUUGAGCCUUGAUGUGUAGGAUAGGUGGGAGGCUUUGAAGCGUGGACGCCAGUCUGCGUGGAGCCGACCUUGAAAUACCACCCUUUAAUGUUUGAUGUUCUAACGUGGACCCGUGAUCCGGGUUGCGGACAGUGUCUGGUGGGUAGUUUGACUGGGGCGGUCUCCUCCUAAAGAGUAACGGAGGAGCACGAAGGUUGGCUAAUCCUGGUCGGACAUCAGGAGGUUAGUGCAAUGGCAUAAGCCAGCUUGACUGCGAGCGUGACGGCGCGAGCAGGUGCGAAAGCAGGUCAUAGUGAUCCGGUGGUUCUGAAUGGAAGGGCCAUCGCUCAACGGAUAAAAGGUACUCCGGGGAUAACAGGCUGAUACCGCCCAAGAGUUCAUAUCGACGGCGGUGUUUGGCACCUCGAUGUCGGCUCAUCACAUCCUGGGGCUGAAGUAGGUCCCAAGGGUAUGGCUGUUCGCCAUUUAAAGUGGUACGCGAGCUGGGUUUAGAACGUCGUGAGACAGUUCGGUCCCUAUCUGCCGUGGGCGCUGGAGAACUGAGGGGGGCUGCUCCUAGUACGAGAGGACCGGAGUGGACGCAUCACUGGUGUUCGGGUUGUCAUGCCAAUGGCACUGCCCGGUAGCUAAAUGCGGAAGAGAUAAGUGCUGAAAGCAUCUAAGCACGAAACUUGCCCCGAGAUGAGUUCUCCCUGAGACUUAGAGUCUCCUGAAGGAACGUUGAAGACGACGACGUUGAUAGGCCGGGUGUGUAAGCGCAGCGAUGCGUUGAGCUAACCGGUACUAAUGAACCGUGAGGCUUAACCUUACAACGCCGAAG
rnacentral:rRNA from 1 species